UACGUAGGCAGCAAGCGUUGUUCGGAGUUACUGGGCGUAAAGGGUGUGUAGGCGGUUCUUUAAGUUUGGUGGGAAAUCUCCCGGCUCAACCGGGAGGGUGCGCCGAAUACUGAGGGACUAGAGUGUGGGAGAGGAAAGUGGAAUUCCUGGUGUAGCGGUGAAAUGCGUAGAUAUCAGGAGGAACACCGGUGGUGUAGACGGCUUUCUGGACCAUAACUGACGCUGAGACACGAAAGCGUGGGUAGCAAACAGG
rnacentral:rRNA from 1 species